rnacentral:rRNA from 1 species
UACGUAGGGUGCAAGCGUUGUCCGGAAUUACUGGGCGUAAAGAGUUCGUAGGCGGUUUGUCGCGUCGUUUGUGAAAACCAGCAGCUCAACUGCUGGCUUGCAGGCGAUACGGGCAGACUUGAGUACUGCAGGGGAGACUGGAAUUCCUGGUGUAGCGGUGAAAUGCGCAGAUAUCAGGAGGAACACCGGUGGCGAAGGCGGGUCUCUGGGCAUUAACUGACGCUGAGGAGCGAAAGCAUGGGGAGCGAACAGG